CCUACGGGGGGCUGCAGUGGGGAAUAUUGGACAAUGGGCGAAAGCCUGAUCCAGCCAUGCCGCGUGUGUGAAGAAGGCCUUCGGGUUGUAAAGCACUUUCAGUGGGGAAGAAAGCCUUGGGGCUAAUACCCUCGAGGAAGGACAUCACCCACAGAAGAAGCACCGGCUAACUCCGUGCCAGCAGCCGCGGUAAUACGGAGGGUGCGAGCGUUAAUCGGAAUUACUGGGCGUAAAGCGCGCGUAGGCGGUCUGAUAAGCCGGUUGUGAAAGCCCCGGGCUCAACCUGGGAACGGCAUCCGGAACUGUCAGGCUAGAGUGCAAGAGAGGAAGGUAGAAUUCCCGGUGUAGCGGUAAAAUGCGUAGAGAUCGGGAGGAAUACCAGUGGCGAAGGCGGCCUUCUGGACUGACACUGACGCUGAGGUGCGAAAGCGUGGGUAGCAAACAGGAUUAGAUACCCAGUAUC
rnacentral:rRNA from 1 species